UACGUAGGGUGCGAGCGUUGUCCGGAAUUAUUGGGCGUAAAGGGCGCGUAGGCGGCUUGGCAAGUGGAAGGUGAAAUCCCUCGGCUUAACCGAGGAACUGCCCUCCAAACUGCUUUGCUUGAGGCCGGGAGAGGUGAGUGGAAUUCCCAGUGUAGCGGUGAAAUGCGCAGAUAUCAGGAAGAACACCAAUGGCGAAGGCAGCUCUCUGGGACGGUACUGACGCUGAGACGCGGAAAGCGUGGGGAGCGAACAGG
rnacentral:rRNA from 1 species